rnacentral:snRNA from 1 species
GUGCUCACUUCCGAAACACAUAUACUAAAAUUGGAAAGAUACAGAGAAGAUUGGCCCCUGUGCCAGGAUGGUACAUAAAUUCAUGAAGCGUUCGGUAGUACA